UGGGGAAUAUUGCACAAUGGGCGAAAGCCUGAUGCAGCGACGCCGCGUGGGGGAUGACGGCCUUCGGGUUGUAAACCCCUUUCAGUAGGGAAGAAGCGAGAGUGACGGUACCUGCAGAAGAAGCGCCGGCUAACUACGUGCCAGCAGCCGCGGUAAUACGUAGGGCGCAAGCGUUGUCCGGAAUUAUUGGGCGUAAAGAGCUUGUAGGUGGCUUGUCGCGUCUGCCGUGAAAACCCGAGGCUCAACCUCGGGCGUGCGGUGGGUACGGGCAGGCUAGAGUGUGGUAGGGGAGACUGGAACUCCUGGUGUAGCGGUGAAAUGCGCAGAUAUCAGGAAGAACACCGAUGGCGAAGGCAGGUCUCUGGGCCAUUACUGACACUGAGAAGCGAAAGCAUGGGUAGCGAACAGGAUUAGAUACC
rnacentral:rRNA from 1 species